rnacentral:rRNA from 1 species
AUUGAACGCUGGCGGCAGGCUUAACACAUGCAAGUCGAGCGGGGGAAGGUAGCUUGCUACCGGACCUAGCGGCGGACGGGUGAGUAAUGCUUAGGAAUCUGCCUAUUAGUGGGGGACAACAUCUCGAAAGGGAUGCUAAUACCGCAUACGUCCUACGGGAGAAAGCAGGGGAUCUUCGGACCUUGCGCUAAUAGAUGAGCCUAAGUCGGAUUAGCUAGUUGGUGGGGUAAAGGCCUACCAAGGCAACGAUCUGUAGCGGGUCUGAGAGGAUGAUCCGCCACACUGGGACUGAGACACGGCCCAGACUCCGACGGGAGGAAGCAGUGGGGAAUAUUGGACAAUGGGGGGAACCCUGAUCCAGCCAUGCCGCGUGUGUGAAGAAGGCCUUAUGGUUGUAAAGCACUUUAAGCGAGGAGGAGGCUACUUUAGUUAAUACCUAGAGAUAGUGGACGUUACUCGCAGAAUAAGCACCGGCUAACUCUGUGCCAGCCGCCGCCGUAA